rnacentral:lncRNA from 1 species
GCGAGUAAAAUGCCCUGCGUGUGAGAAGCAGGCUCAGAUUAUUGCUACUCUGUAUUCAGAUCUUCAUGUGUCUCUUCUAAGCUGAAUAAAGCUGUUUUGGAACUGUCAGGUACCUCAAAGCAAUGUGCUGUAAAGAAGAGUUGUCAAUUGUGCACAGAAGAUAAGAAAUAUAUGAUGAAUAGAUAAUUGAAAAGAGAUCCUCCAGAAAGAGCAGAAGGAAGUUUCUUCAAUGGCUUCCUUCAGGAUUUUAAUCAUCCUUACAGCCUCUUUGAGAAUGAUUGAACUUCCAAAUUCCCUGAAGUUAAAAUUUUAAAUUCUAUUAAACAUUUUUUCGAGUA